CCUCCCCCAUCUUCCUCUCCUCUGUAAAUGCUUUUUCAUGCCUCUUUUAUUUACAAUAAUUUACCCCAUUCUAAUUUUCCUUUCCCCUCUUCUCAAUGCAUUCCUCUUUUCAUGCCUUAAUUUAAUUUAAUUUUUUAUAUCAUCCCAUCAUAUUGAAUUCCCACCAUUGCUUUCUAUGUAUACUCCUUCUAACUGCCCUAAUAAUGACUAAGUUAUUUGGCAUUACAAGAAUCAUUUCCCCAUGUAGGGAUGUACACAGCUCAAUCUUAUUUUUUUUUUAUUUCUCUUUUCUGCUUAUGUUUUUAUGAUUCUCUUGAGUCUUAUAUAUAGUCAAUUUUUCCUUUCAGCUCUGAUCAGGAAUGUUUGAAAGUUCUCUAUUUCAUUGAAUACUGUGAAUUUUAGAUUUACUCCACCCUGCUUAGUCUAGCAAUCAGGAAUGUCUACACCCCUACUUAAGGAUUAAGUGUUGAGAAGGAUGGUCUAUGACAGACAUGUGCUAGCAAAUGACAAAUCAGAAACAACUGGCAGACCCCUGGGCUGUCCUAAGUCAAGCUUAAGCUACCAUUGGUACAUGUGAGACACAGGAAGUGAUGUUAAAAAAAAGUCUAUAUAUUUCUGUCACUUCCUCUUGCUGGUCUUUGUUUGGUGGCAGAAAUGUUGAGCUCAGGGUCUCUCUCUCAGAGACUUUGAGUUUGAGUAGUGGUGUGGCUCGUGGCAGCAUCUUGGCAUCUUGGCAUGGGUCAGUGGUCCCUGCAUGGCAAUGAUCAUAAGUAAGGAGAAUGCAAUCAAGGACUGGAGAACAUUCGUUGGUCCAACAGACCCAGAGGUGGCAAAAAAGACUAACCCUGAGUCCAUCCGUGCCCUCUUUGGGAAGGACAUAUUGGACAAUGCAGUACAUGUAUCAUCUACCAGACAACAUGCCCAGGAAACCAUUGACCUGUUAUUUGGAGACAUUGUUUUGGACUUUGAAGAGCCAGAAUAAGAGUUCCCCGCAGAUGUCGCUCCAUUUCAUCUACAGCCAUGAAAUAUAUGGCAUGCCUGCCUCCUGCAACAAUAAAAGCACAGGCCUCUUGGGGGAAAGGAACAGUGAGGGUGACAAAUAAAACAAAACAAGAAGAAAAGAGCCUCUCAAACUGGAAAAAGUUCCAAACCCUUUUCUGCCUUGGUUUUAUGUGAUGAUUGCUAGGCACUCUAAGCAACAAAUUGGAAGUGUAGAGCAGUAUAGAGGCAAACAUUAAACCCAGACUGAUGAGUCUGUGAGCAAGAGUAGAGAGAGGAAUGUAGAGAGUCCAGGACAGAGCCUUGGGGGACACCUGGAGGCAGAAAGUGGAGAAGGAACCUGCCAAGAGGGAUCCAAGGGAGAGCAGGACCACUCUCAUCACUACUGGCCCUCCCUACAAGCAAUCCUGCUAUUCUUCCAUGACCAUGUCUCUCUAAUCUGAGAGUGAAAAAUGAUCACCCACAAAACAUACUUUCUUUGAGAAAUCUUUACAAAGGAAACUUGGUGCAAGUGGUCACCAAAGUUCUGUCCUCGUUCCAUUUGCUUCAGGUAAGAUGCUGACAAUUGUUGGAAGUAAUGUUACUUACUGUUUUCUUUUCCAUUUUCUCAAUUAAGCAGAGUUAAGUGACUUGCCCAGGGUCACACAAUUAAUAAGUGUCUGAGGCUGGAUUUGAACUCAUAAAGAUGAGUCUUUGUGAUUCCAAGCCCAAUGUUCUAUGGACUACACUAUCCAGUGGCCCCCAAUAUUUCUUUGAACUGACAAAUUUGCCAACUUGCUAGGGAGCUAGUUGUCUGACCUUGCUUGAGUCCCCGCCCUUUUCUGUGCCCCAGUUUCUUCCUCUGUAAAAUGAAGACACUGGAUUAGAGAUUGCGAUUCCCAAACACUCUUUCUUGCCUACCUUCUCAAUCUUCCCUCACAGCAUUUCCAGCAUCUCUUAGGUUUACCACCUAUUAUACAUGCUUGAUGUGUGGUCCUGGACCAAUCAUUUACCCAUUCGGAGCCUCACUAGCUUCAGAUCCAAAAUGGAAAUGAGCAAUUCUUAUAGUACCUUCCUUGUAGGAUUGUUGGGAGGCUCAAAAGAGAGGCUCUGCAUAGAGUGCUUUGCAAACUUUUCAGGGCUGUAGAAAUAUCUGUAAUCGUUGUUGCUGUCAUUAUUGAUGUUUUUCUUUUUCUUUGGAUCUGCCUCAGUGGCUCCAUUGGUGUAGGGAGCUACCAGGGGUAGCCCUAGGGUCUCAGAGCUAAUGUAUCAGCAGCAGGGCACCACCAUCAACCAACACCAUUAAUAUGUGAUAGAUUUCAAUUCAUCAUUUGUCUGGAGAGAAACAGGUAUCCAUGUAUUGAAGUGAUGCUAUUUCAAUUUUCUCUCCAAGAAAAACAGUUUCAUAGUGUCUCACCAGUAGAUGGCAGAAGAGAGACCUAAGAGAGACACAUGGGCUUGGGCAUUCAUCACUAGUCUGGGGAACCAUUUUUAGGAUCUCUGUUUUGGAGUUAGAUGGGGUCAUUUUACAGAGGAAGAAACUGAGGCCCCAUGAGUUGAAGUGACUUUUGAUGUGAGUUGGGAACACAAUGAAGGAAGAGGAGCCAGAGAAUGCAGGCUGAAAUUCCAGAUACCCCACAGCCUACUUGAGUAACCUUAGGCAGCCUCUCCAAGUCUCAGUUUCCUCAUCUGUACAAUGAAAGGACCUCUACAACUCAGCCAAAUAUACAAAUGGAAAGUGUAACAACUGAGAUUCAAACCCAGAUUUCUCUUUAAAAAAUCUUUUUUAUUGAUAUCUUUUGUUGUUUUCAUCACCUUUUUUUUUUUAAAAUAUAUAUCCUUUUCCUGGCCCCUACUUAGUGAGGUAUCCCUUGUAACAACAACAAUGACAACAACAACAACAAAAUUAAAAAAAGAGCAAAGGGGAAAAAAUCCAGCAAAAUUAGCUGACUCAUCAAGUGGAUCUGGCAAAUAUAUACAAUAUUCCAACUCUGUGGCACCCCAUCUCUGAAAAAAAGGAAGAGAGAAAAGCAUUUUCUCAACUAUUCUCUAGGGAUGAUCUUGUGAGCCCAAGUGUUUUGGCCUUGGGCUCAGCAAUUCCUCUGUCACACCCAGCUGUGAAUCUCUUCUGAUUACAAAAUAUUAAACAACAGCCCUCCAUGGUACCUAAGCUUGUGUUGGCGAAUCUAUAGCAUGCAUGCCAGAGCUGCUCUCCUCCCCCUCUUCACUGUGCCUGAGGACAUUUCUUCCAUCACCUAACCCUCUGCCCAGAAGUCCAAUUGGGAGCACUUCUUCCCUCCACUGUCUGGGGUAAGGGGGUAGUGUACGUGUGGCAUGAGAGCUAUAGUUUGGGCACUCCGCCUCUAAAAGGUUCACCAUCACUGACCUAAGGCAUUCUUUCCCUACUACUAGGUGUAGAUCAUUUUUCCCUGGGGCAUUGACUAAACCUGAGUAUAGUGUACCCAUUUUUCAGAGAAGGAAACAGAUUUAGAGAUGGGAAUUCAUUUGCCCAGAGUUACACAGUAAUGGAAUUACCACUCCAUGAAUAUUACAGGAGUCUCUUCCAGAUUUUGGAGACUCUAGACUCUUCUGGCUUUCUGACUAUCUCGAUAAGAAAGAUAUUUCCUUUUUUUUUUUUUUUUUUUUUUUUUGCUCUCCAAAGAUUACUACCCUGGGCUUCUGGCCUUCUUUUCCUAAUUUGGUAGGAACAUCUUCUAGAGAUAUGUGUUGGUUAUUUGGUGAGUCCCAUCUUCCCCAUGAUUUUUCUCGUUCAUAUUCUCUCACCACCAUCCAUCAGGCUUUUCUUUCUUUUUUUUUUAAACCCUCACCUUCCAUCUUAGAAUCAAUACUGUGUAUUGAUUCUAAGGCAGAAUAGUGGUAAGGCCUAGGCAAUGCGGGUUAAGUGACUUGCCCAUGGUCACAUAGCUAGGAAGUAUCUGAGGCCAUAUUUGAACCUCUUAUCCCUAGGCCUGGCUCUUAAUUCCCUGAGUUACCCAGCUGUCCCCGAUCUGGCUUUUCUACCUCAACUCAGCCAAUAAAUAUCCAGCAGUCAAUAAACA
rnacentral:lncRNA from 1 species